rnacentral:rRNA from 1 species
AUUGAACGCUGGCGGCAGGCCUAGCACAUGCACGUCGAGCGAGCGGCGGACGGGGGAGUAAUGUAUGGGGACUGCCCGAUAGAGGGGGAUAACUACUGGAAACGGUAGCUAAUACCGCAUACUAUCGGAUAACCCAUAGGGGAUUAGCUAGUAGGUGAGGUAAUGGCUCCCCUAGGCGACGAUCUCGAGCUGGUCUGAGAGGAUGAUCAGCCACACUGUGACUGAGCCACGGCCCAGACGCCGACGGAGGCAGCAGUGGGGAAUAUUGCACAAGGGGCGCAAGCCUGAGGCAGCCAUGCCGGGUGGAUGAAGAAGGCCUUAGGGUUGUAAAGUACGUGCAGCGGGGAGGCGUUAACCGCAGAAGAAGCACCGGCUAACUCCGUGCAAGCAGCCGCGGUAAUAC